rnacentral:rRNA from 1 species
UACGAAGGGGGCUAGCGUUGCUCGGAAUCACUGGGCGUAAAGCGCACGUAGGCGGAUUUUUAAGUCAGGGGUGAAAUCCCGAGGCUCAACCUCGGAACUGCCUUUGAUACUGGGGAUCUGGAGUCCGGAAGAGGUUGGUGGAACUCCGAGUGUAGAGGUGAAAUUCGUAGAUAUUCGGAAGAACACCGGUGGCGAAGGCGGCCAACUGGUCCGGUACUGACGCUGAGGUGCGAAAGCGUGGGGAGCAAACAGG